UGUUCUCUAAAAUACAUCACCAAGAUCUACUAUUUGUAUUUUACUUAAUGACUUUUAUCAUUUAUCAUACAUGAAUUUAUCUAUUUUUUGUGAUACUUGGCCCAGUAAGUCUAAAACCCAACUGCCAAAACCUAUGGAGGAAACCCAAUUGAACGGUUAGAAAGAAAAAAAAUGAGUUACAGCGCACUAUUUUGAGCCCCUUAGGGAUCACUUCCCUUUCUCCCCUACAACAUCUCUCUUUUCUCUUUUACCAUCUGCUUCUCUCUCUCCCUCUCUAUUUCUCUGUUUCUCUCUCCACUCUCGAUAGCCAACCCAACACCAUCAUGCUACCACCAUUGUCUCCCUGUUUGUCGACCUCAUCUCCACGUCAGUGAGUACUCAGACUCCAUCCAUCUAUUUCUCUCUCUGUCAAUGUCACUCUCUCUUUCUCUCUGUCUCAUUCUCUCUUAUCUUGUGCCGUCGUACUCUACCAAGCCAUAAUUACCACUCUCGACUGUGUUAGGAAGUAACGUCAAGCUCCACUAGCGUCUUUCUCUAUUUUCUCUUCCACUGGCAUCACGCCUCUACCACACUCAACAGUGCCAACACCACAAGCUCUACUACUGAUGUUUGCCACUAGGCCGUCGUCGGGCUCCUCUGCCACCAAUAUGUACUUCUCUUUGUUCACCUCUCUUCCUUCCCUCAACCUGCUUCUCUCACUCUCUCACUAUCUCCCUCUCAAUUCACCCCUCUCUCUAUCUCUCUUUCUCUCUCCCUAUGUUUAGGUCACCCCUCUCCAUGCCACCCAACUCCUUCGCCACUCACGACGCACCAACUUUGGAGAAGGAGAUGGGAGGACUAGCAUGCAUACAGGAAUUUUGCCCACCCUACAAAGGUCCUCUGAUCAUGCUGGAGCACAUAAUAUUGAGUGACGUUUCCUAAAUUAUCUUUGGGUGACAAUGGGCUCAAGCAAGAUGGUAACACUCUUGAGUCGAAGUCAUGGCCUCUCUAGUGGCGGAGGUCAGAAGACGUCGUGGUCAAGGAUGGGGAGCAAAGGCAGGCGUCACACGUAACAAAGUCACACACAUGGUCGUUACUAGUGGUGUAGUAAAGGGAGCUAGGGUGUAGGGAUGGUCCUUUCAGGAGAGACCGUGGUUCACAAAAUAAUAAAAUGGAUGUUUUCAACAAUGAGAUUUUCUUUUGGGCAUGUUACAACUUGCUUGAGAAUUGUAUUGAGUACUUGAGUUUUGUUAGGCAAUAAACUUUUAGGUGAAGUUGACUGUUACUCGGUUACGUUUAAUUUGAUUAAAUGUGAAAUAUCAAUUAUCAUCAUUCCUUGCAUCAAAUAUUUGCAUAAUUUCAUUUCCACUAGUAUGCAUUUUUUUAGUACUGGUCUUAGUUUCACUUACUAAAAUUUUUCGAAAUCUCACCCUGGUUGUCCUACUACGGUUGUACUUUUCAAAACCGUAGGUUUUGAAAUAGAUAGAGAGUUUGGCGGUAGUUAUGGGCAUGGAGAUCUCACACAGCCAUAGGAUUGAGGAUUGAAGAUUUUCCCCACUUUGUUAAGUUGCUACCUUUGAAUUUGAUUGGAAAACCAGACGACUAUAAUUAUUUUCUUGCUUGUGGUUUGGAGGCAUGUUGCUUAUGGAUAUUACGGUUUUGAUGUA